AGCAGCCGCGGUAAUUCCAGCUCCAAUAGCGUAUAUUAAAGUUGUUGCAGUUAAAAAGCUCGUAGUUGAAUUUCGGGAUUGGCGCAUCGGUCGUGCCUCACGGGGUAUGAACUGGUGCAGUCAAUUUCUCACCUUCUGGAGAACCGCGAUGUCCUUAAUUGGAUGCCGCGGGGAACCAGGACCUUUACUUUGAAAAAAUUGAGUGUUUAAAGCAGGCAUUUUUGCUUGAAUACAUUAGCAUGGAAUAAUAAAAUAGGACGGCAUGGUUCUAUUUUGUGGUUUCUAGGACCACCGUAAUGAUUAAUAGGGAUAGUUGGGGGUAUUAGUAUUCAAUUGUCAGAGGUGAAAUUCUUGGAUUUAUUGAAGACCAACUACUGCGAAAGCAUUUGCCAAGGAUGUUUUCAUUAAUCAAGAACGAAGUUAGGGAUCGAAGACGAUCAGAUAC
rnacentral:rRNA from 1 species